rnacentral:lncRNA from 1 species
GAGUAAAAGUUUUCUACUCUUGUACAUUUGAAAUUGGUAAGUUGUGAUGUUUUGGAUAAAACAAAGACCAACUUAGGCCAAUUGUGUGAAGUGUUUGUCUUGAUUAGAAUCCACACUAUCUCUUGGAUAUUUGACAAGAGAGUCUUAUAUGUCAAGAGGACAGUGGGAGUCUUAAAGGUCUUGAAAGUCUCAAGAACUAAUCAAGAAUAAAACCUGAAGUUCUUCACUAGCACACGACUUGAGGUUUAUAACCUAUCGUGUUGACAUAUUCUGUGCCCAUUCCAGUUAAAGUUGGCUUUGCAUAUGAGUUCUUAGAGUUCUCAAUUUGUUGCACAACAACUUGGAAGCAAUGGCAGGCCCUUGAGCUGCCAGGUGGCAAGAAAUUAAGAUUGAGUUCAGUCCAUAUGAGUUUGGAUUUGUCAUUAUCCUUGUCUUGUGACUAUGGUUUUGACAAUUCACAUGGAUAAGAACACAUACACCAUUAAAUCUAAGUGUCAUAAGGUUUCUCUCCGAUUCAUGAAAAUGAUGGUGAGGAAACACUUUCACUAAGUAGAUUUUAGCUAGAUAGCAAUUGUGAUAUUUGCAUUCUCAAAGUCGUUAGUGGAGCGCGUGUGGUUAACCGGCACACUAAUUUGGACUUGUGAGAAGUGGCAAAAAGGUCUAAACAUUAUGAUUACGGCAUCCCUCUUCAUAAUUGUUUAGAUACACAAGUGUGCUAUCUAAGGGAAGGUGUAUGAUUUUGAUAAAGACUUAUCAAGGCAAUCUAGUAUCAGAAAUCUGAACUUUGUUAAGAAAGUCAAUAAAGUAUUGAUUUCUAGAAGUUCAGUUGAUUUCUGGGUACUUGUCAAAGCUAGUGGGAGCAUAAGUGUUAUGCUAGUAAUCAUCAUGUUAGUGGGAGCAUGAUAAUUAUGAGAAAGAUUGCAAGUUAGCAAUGUUAAUUAUAGAAAAUAAAAUGUUUCAAUUGGGGAAAAGUUGUUUUGCUAUAUUUAAGGGAGAGGAAAUUAUACUUCAUCUCAAAUCUAUAAGCUUAGAUCGUGAGGUUUUAAUCAUUUAGUCAAGGAUAUAUAUAUGAAUUUCAUGUUGGAAUGGAUCAACAUAAGGAAAUUCUGUAUAUGGGUCCAUUAUUUGCGUUCUAAAAUUCGAUUAUGAUUACGGCAUCCCUUUUCAUAAUCUGAAUUAUGAGAACUUGGCAAAUUGAAAUGGAAAUAUUAUAGCAAAAGACUGGUUUAGUCUUUAUGUAAGACAUCAUGAAUCGUGUCCCAUAUGCUUCGGAUAUAGGAUCGAUUACAUGUGCUAUAUUCAUCCGUUCUAAAAUUUUCCAAAUGCCUGGGGCAUUAAGAAGGGAAAAGGUUUAGAACUGGAUAUGACUAAAAGGAUUAAACAAUUGUCGAGGACAAUCUAAGGUUUACCAAAGAUUGGGUGCUCAAGGACAGUUGGAAGUAUAGUGAUAAUUCUGGAAGGACCAUAUUGACAUAAUCUGUAAGGAGGCAACUCUUGUUCAGAAGUGAUAGUCAAAAUGGAAUCUGGAAAUGUUUCAAAGUUAGAAAUUUUUCAAUCUGUGUAAGAUUAGGAAACUUAAUGCAAGAAGGAUGUUUCCAAGGAGUUGAUCUCCUUUGGAAUGCUCUGUAAUGUUUGUUGUCAAGUCUUUGUGACUUUGUGCAUAAUCAUUACAAGAGGAUCAAUGCAUAUAAGUUUAGAAUCUAACAGAUUUCAGUAAAUGGCAUGAAUUUGGAAUUCUUGCAUUUGCAGUAAGGAUUUGGGAGUGUGAAAAGAGAAUCAUUGAAGUUAUGUUCAAUUGAUCUAGUUCACAAAGUAAAGAUCAUAGACAAACAUAGUAUGCAUACUUGGUGUAUGGCAUGACUAGUGUUUAGAAAACAUAGUGUACAUGCUUGGAGCAUGGGACAACUAUUGUUUUUAAUUCAAGAAUAAAGUUGAUAGCUGAAACAGUAUAUAAUGAAUAAUGUGUAAUCAUAUGGUGAUAAAUAAAAGGUGUUUUAUUUAUAUUCAUAAGUUCUGAGACCAUAUUAGAAUCCAUUAUUAUUGUGUUUCAUUUUGCACGUUUUGACUUCCAGAAUAAACUAGGUCAUUGCUAUGGAUGACUAAGUUACUCAAACUAUCCACAAUCGGUCAUAUGUUGGAAGUAGAUAUGAAUCAAGAUUGUCAUGGGUUGGCUUGUAGAGGUCUAAUAUGUUGGACAAAGGGCUACAACACUCAUGAGUGCUCAUAACUUCUGAGUAUUGGGUUCAAACCACGCUCAUUGGAAUCACUUCAUGGAUUUAAUCACGAGUGAUCAUGAGACGAUAAUAUCUUAUAUUCUUCAAACCUAGAUAUAUGAGUUGUUACUAUGAGUUGAUAGUACAUUGAUUGCACGAAAACGCAUUUGGUAACUCGGUGCUAUAAAACGUGCCUUUGUGUAUGAUUCAACAAGUAGUAGAACAAGCCAUAUGAGUCGAAGUUUAUCCAUUCCUUUUACCUUCGGGAUAAAAGCGAUAUCUGUGGGCCCCUCGAUGAUUUGAUGAUGACAAAUGGAAGUGCUCGGCCGGGCCAGGACUGAUUUGAUUUGUUCAAUUAUUUGUUCAAUUAGUCAGUCGUCAUAAAUCGGAAAUCGGGAAACAACAAAUGGACAGAGAGAAUGAUUAUAAUCCAUAUGAUAUCUAGAAUGGAGGAAUAUAUGAUACCUUAUCUAAUGGACUAGCCAUUGACAAAGGUCAGAGUUCAUCUCAGACCUCGACAGAAGCUUUUGAGAGCUACGAUUGCUGAUCGGUUCCUGAAGUCAUACGCAAUAAUAGUUUUAGACUUAUCCAAGUGGGAGACUGUUGGAUUAAUGUCUAAGUCCAUAACUAUAAUUGGUAAGACUUGACCCGACCCGGCAUGGUCCAUUUGGGUUGCAUACCAUCAUGCACUUGGAUAGACUAUAAUGAGAGAAAUAAGACACUUAUGGUUAUUAAUAUAUUAUAAGUUCUAGUAUAUUAAUAAUAAGAAUAAUAAGAUUAUUUAAUUAGUAUUGAUCAAGAAUUAAUCUAGGAUUAAUUAAGUGAUCAAAAGAAGACUAAUUAAAUAUAUGGGUUGAUUAUGUAAAUCAUCCAUACUUAUAUAGUGGGCUAAUGCUCCAUGGGUUAUCUAGUGGGGCUAAAACCCAUAUGAUGCUCCAUGUUGUUUUUGUACCCAUGGAUCAUGGAAAUGAAAGGCCAUGUUAAUAAGGGUUUACAUGGUGUAACCCUAACUAUAUAUGCAUCUCAUUCUUGACAAAAAUCAGCCACUAGAGAGAGUAAGAAAGGGCUAGCCGAUUUUCAUGAAGUGUAGAAUUCUCUCAAGUUAUUCCAAGUGUAUUUGGUGUUGUGUGAACCAUUUGAGGUGUCACACUUGAGGCACUUGGCACUCAAGCUUCAUGAAGACUUUCUACAUGAAAGAGGUAUGUAUUCUAUCUUGUUAUAUUCAUUGUUUUGUAUGCUAGAUUAGGAUAAUACCUUGGAUGUUCAUAUUUGUAUGUAUAAUAGAGAAAACAUAGAUCCAAGGUAUUUAGGGUUGCAUGUACACUUAGGAGUGUUAAAAUGCUCAAAACCCAACAACUAGGGGCCCCGGUACAUUGGUCCGUUCAGGGUGACCACGAGGGUGGGCAGAGUAGCAUACCGUUUGGAGCUACCUGCGGAGUUAAGCCAGAUUCAUGAUACCUUCCACGUGUCUUAGUUGAAGAAGUUUAUAGCCGAUGAGUCGGCGGUGGUGCCAUUGGUAGAUAUUCAAGUGGAUGCGAGGCUGAAUUAUGUUGAGAGGCCANUCGGAAGAUCAAGGUUCUGAGGAACAAGGAGGUGCCCCUGGUUCAAGUCCUGUGGCUACACCGGAGAGGGACUGAGCUGACCUGGGAGCCGAAGUUGGAGAUGCAGGAGCAACAUCCAAAGUUGUUUGCACAGCAAGACUUCGAGGGCGAAGUCUGACUCCAAUGGGGGAGAAUUCUAACAUCCGUAUUUCCAGGUAUUAUGUUUGAUCAUUUAUUUUUUUGAGUAAAAGAGAGGGACUCGACGAGCUGAGGCGUAGACUCGUCAAUGUUUGGACUAUUGAGCCAUUGGAGCGGUAGAAUGGUCUUUUACCCUUCUUAUAGAGUUUAGAGAGGGAUUAGCCUAGUCUUUGAAAGUCGUAUUGAUUAGAGUAAUUAUUUUAUGUGAUUAGGCGGAGGCUAGAUCAGUAUUUCCGAGUUCAAGGGUUACUGAGUUAUCUGAGGUGAGUCUUCUCACUAUACUUUACCUUGAGUGGUAAUUAGAGUUAUGUGACAGAGUAUAUUGUGUGUUAUGUAUGUGAUGUGUUGCACUACAUUAGUUCUAUUUGAUUUAUGUUGUAUGUACUCCAGAGUUUACAAAGUUAGGACGAGAGGGACCACAGAGUUAGGGCCAUAGGGUCCACAGAAUUAGGGUCAGAGGGUCCACAGGUUUGACAGGACUAUAAUUCUCCCUUCAUUAAAAGUAUUAAUGAUAAAUACUAAGUAACUAAACUCUUAAUAAUACCCAAUCUUAGUUACUUAGGAAAAAUGUGAAUAAGGUGCUAAUCCAUGAAAUUACACUUUACACUUUGUCUAAGUCGUUAGUGGAGCGUGUGUGGUUAACCGGCACACUAACUUGGACUUAACAAGGUAGGUAAAGGGUGACUUAAUAUUUAUCAUAGUAUCGAUGGAGCGUGUGUGGUUAACCGGCACAUCGAUUGAGGGGUAAUUUAUUAAGGGUACCAAGUGAUUUGCAUGGUUACUUCACACCUUGUUUUGUGAUCCUCGGCAUCCCAGUCACAAAACCUGAAGGGCACACUCGAGAUUGAAACAUGCCAUUGAAAAGUUCAAUGAAUCUCAAAGAUCUAGGAGUUUCAAAAACCAAUUAAAACCUAAUAAUACAUUUCGUUUAUCUUGGUGGAAAUUGGUGAAUCGUCAUUCACCUACCUUCGAAUAUUUUAUAGCUUGGAUUAUGGCAUCCCUCUUCUAAGUUAUAAAACAGUUUGUUGGGUCCUGGCCUUAAUAUUUCAUAUCGGGUGUCAUAUUAAGGACUUUAAAUCAACUAUCUUGAAUAUCUCCCAAAAAGAUGUCUACUUUAGACAUUUAUGAUCUUCCUAAAUCUCUUGAAACAAGCUUUCCUAAAUGAAGAUGAUGUCCCAUGGAAAUCAUACUUCUUUCACCUACUCCAAUUAUUCUCCCUAACCCACAAGUUCUUGAAAAUUUUAAGGUCACUCAAGCCCUAUUGGCAAGCAAAGGUCUAUGUGUGAUCACAUCUUGGAGAUGUAGUCACAUAUUGACAAGCCGGGAGAGUUGGGUGUCAAAGUGUUGAGAAAGUUGGUGCCUCAACUACUUUCUAAGUCACAUAGUGAGUUCCUUUGGGACUCCUACGAAACAGAGUAUGACAAGACCCUUAAUGAUCUUAUCUAUUUGCUAAGAUCAACUUCCUAAAACUUGUGGACAUUGACAAUAAUAGCAUUGGAUAUCCACUAAAGCUCUCUCUUUCCAAUGGAAUGGGAUCGGCCAUAGUCAACUCGGUUGACCAAAUGGUAAAGAGAGAGGCUAAGUCUGAGAUAGUCCCAUUAUUAAGGGUCCAUAGGUAACUAUUGCCAAAGGAAGGGGCAUUGGUUGCAAAGCUGCCAAAUUUACCUAAGGAUGUUAAAGUCAAUAAGUUUUUCUCUACUUCAGGUAAAGUCAAUUGUCUAACUCUAUUAAGUGCAUGCUGAUUCUGAUCGCAAAGAUGGAUUUCAAUAGCAUAGUUUGAAGAUCAGAUUGUUGAGAACUUUCAAGUAUUGGAAAGAUUCUCAUCACCCAAGUUUGAAUUGGACCGGAACUUGGAAUCAUGCAAGUUGUAUAGCAUGAUGAAUGAGAAGUUUCAAGUAUUGGAAAAUUAAGACUAAUUACUUGUUCACAUGGAUGUGUGAGUCAAGUGAAGGACUAAGGGAUCGAGUACACAUUCUUGUGCAUUGGUCAAGUCCACCACAAAAGAUCGAUAAGAUUAUUCGUCAUAAUUUACUAAAGCUUAGUAAAUAUGGUUAUACUUACAAGCUUAAGUGUAAUUAUGAGACAUUGGAAAAAGGUUCCAAUGUAAGGCAGAGCGAAUAAGAAGAAUCAAAUUAGGCAGAAGGAUAAAAGUUUCUCAAAUCUAAAAAGAUGGGAGAGUACUUUAGUAUCAGGUUUUAUGAUCAUCUUACUGAUUUAGAGACCUUAUCACAAUUCAUCCUCUAAGUGCCCUAAGAAGAGGAGCUAUGAAUUGCCGAAGUGGUUAAAUCAAGAAGAUGAGUCAUACUUCGUUCCAAUACAAGUCUUAGAGUCAUACUCCAAGAUUGUAAUUUCAGUGAAAUGUCUUAGAGAAGGUUUAAAACACAUGGCAAAUGUAAGAGUAAAGUUUUCUACUCUUGUACAUUUGAAAUUGGAAAGUUGUGAUGUUUUGGAUAAAACAAAGAGAAACUAAGGCCAAUUGUGUGAAGUGUUUGUCUUGAUUAGAAUACACACUAUCUCUUGAAUAUCUGACAAGAGAGUCUUAUAUGUCAGGAGGACAGUGGGAGUCUUAAAAGUCUUGAAAGUCUCAAGAACUAAUCAAGAACAAAACCUGAAAUUCUUCACUAGCACACGACUUGAGGAUCAUAACCUAUCGUGUUGACAUAUUCUGUGCCCAUUCCAAUUAAAUUUGGCUUUGCAUAUGAGUUCUUAGAGUUCUCAAUUGGUUUCACAACAACUUGGAAGCAAUGGCAGGCCCUUGAGCUGCCAGGUGGCAAGAAAUUAAGAUUGAGUUCAGUCCAUAUGAGUUUGGAUUUGUCAUUAACCUUUUCUUGUGACUAUGGUUUUGACAAUUCACAUGGAUAAGAACACAUACACCAUUAAAUCUAAGUUCCAUAAGGUUUCUCUCCAUUCAUGAAAAUGAUGGUGAGGAAAC